ACGGACGCUGGCGGCGUGCUUAACCCCUUCCAGUCGAACGGUGAACCUCUUUUGAGGGGUUCAGUGGCGAACGGGUGAUUAACACGUGGUCAACCUCCCCCCGUCUCUUUGAUAACUCCUAGAAAUUGGUGCUAAUACCGCAUGUUCACCGCUUCCCGCAUGUGUGGUGGUGUAAAGGGUUUCCGGCUGGGUAUGGGCCCUCGGCCUAUCAGCUUGUUGGUGGGGUGGUGGCGUACCAAGGCGACUACGGGUAGCCGGCCUGUGAGGGUGACCGGCAACACUGGGACUGAGAAACGGCCAAAACUCCUACGGGAGGAAGAAGUGGGGAAUAUUGAGAAAUGGGCGGAAGCCUGAGGAAGCGACGCGGGGUGGGGGAUAACGGCCUUCGGGUUGUAAACCUCUUUCAGAAGGGAGGAAGCGGAAGUGACGGUACCUGCAGAAGAAGCACCGGCCAACUACGUG
rnacentral:rRNA from 1 species